UACGUAGGGAGCAAGCGUUGUCCGGAAUCAUUGGGCGUAAAGCGCGCGUAGGUGGCUUCGUAAGUCCGUUGUGAAAGUCAAAGGCUCAACCUUUGAAAGCCGAUGGAUACUGCGGAGCUAGAGUACGGAAGAGGCGAGUGGAAUUCCUGGUGUAGCGGUGGAAUGCGCAGAUAUCAGGAGGAACACCAAUAGCGAAGGCAGCUCGCUGGGACGUUACUGACACUGAGGCGCGAAAGCGUGGGGAGCAAACAGG
rnacentral:rRNA from 1 species